rnacentral:lncRNA from 1 species
UGCUGGGAUUACAGGCGUGAGCCACGUCCCCCAGCCAGUUUCUUAAUCUAUACAUCUAGCCCAGUCCAUGCCCCUGUUUCAGACUAUUAUAUCCAACCACCUGCUAUACAUCUCAUAAAGGUAUCUCAAACACAGCAUAUCUAAAGCUGAAGUCAUCAUCUUGCCCUGGUUUUUCCUGUCUCUUUGCUGAUGGCAUCCCAUUUACCCAGUCAUUCAAACUGGAAAUCUAAAAGCCUCACUUAGCAAGAGUUUGGAGGCAGAAUAUGAUAAAGAACAAGGACUCUGGGAGGCCAAGGCAGGUGGAUUGCUUGAGGUCAAGAGUUCGAGACCAGUCUGGCCAACAUGGCGAAACCCCGUCUUUGCUAAAAAAACACAAAGAAAUUAGCUAGACGUGGUGGCACAUGCCUGUAGUCCCAGCUGUGUGGGAGGCUGAGGCAGGGGAAUUGCUUGAACCUGGGAGGUGGAGGUUGCAGUGACCCAAGAUUGCAUGCACCACUGCACUCCAGCCUGGGUGACAAAGCGAGACCCUGUCUCAAAAAAAACAAGGACUCUACAGAUAGAUAGACAUCAUAUAUCAUAUUAGUUUGAAUCCUGGCUGUUAGCUGUUAGACUUGGGCAAAUAAUUUAACCUCAACUUUCCCUAUCUAUAAAAUGGGAAUUAAAAUAUUUGCACCUUAUAGGGUUAUUGUGAGGAUUAAAUAGGAACAUUGUAUAAAGCACUUAAAACAGUACCUGGGACAUACUAAGUAAUAUAAUUGUUAACUCUUACUAGCAUUCUGUCCCUUUUAUUUCCUAAAUAUCUCUCAUGCCCAUCUCCUAAAUAUCUCUUUCCUAAAUAUCUCUCAUGCUUUUGGCUUAAGACCUCUUUUCCUCCUUAUCUAUUGACUGGACUGCGGCAAAUGCCUGCUAAUCGUUAUUUUUGUGUUCAUUCAUUUAGCAAGCCAAUUUAUUACGCGCUUAGGGUGCUGCCAGGGCUACAAAAGCUGUUGAGACUGUACUUGAUAUGAAGAAGCUUGCUGAUUAUCAUGGGAAGACUGACAUAAGGAAGCACCAUAAAAUUCUGCUGUAUGAGAGGUAUACACGGGAUACUGGGGGUUAAUAAUUGAGGGUAUGGUCCAUUCAACAUGAGUGAGACAGAAACAAUUCAUAAAGGAGAUGAAAUGUCUUGAGGAAUGAGCUCUUAGAAGAAUAGUUUUCAAAUGAGUGUGCAUCACAGUCACCUGUAAGACUUAUUAAAACAGAUCGCUGGGCCCUACACCCAGAGGCUGUGGUUCAGUAGGCUGUAGUAAACCAGUAAUUUGUAUUUCUAUGACGUUCCCAGGUUCUAAUGCUGUUCCCCAAGGCCACACCUUGGAAACCACCACAUUAAAAUACCCAGAAGGCAUUAAUUCCCAGUCCUUCCUCUACACAGCUGCAAAACAAUGGUCCUGACCAUUUCAUCUUUGCACUACAUCCUUCACUGUCUCUCUUUUGCCCAUAGGAUAAGUACAAACUAGAUCUGGUUACUGCCUGCCCCACCAGCCUCAGCAUCUCUCACAACUAGGACUAACUUUUUCUUCUGACAACUAUAAAAUAUUUCCCUUGCCUUCUCAAGUUUGCUCAAGGUCAAGUUAUGCCUUUUGCCUGGAAUGACUUGACUUCUCUUUUGUUUUACUUAGCUGGCUGCUUUUCAUCUUGUAGGUUAGGUCAAGGACUCCAGGAAGUCUUCCCUGGACAAGUAAUGAAGAGGGCAUAAUCCAAGGGCCAACUCCCAUGUUUGGAACCUGACUCCAUUUUCAGGCACGUAAUAUUGUCAAAUUCCUUUUAAAAGCACCUGUCUGUCUGUUAACGUUGGUGCAGAUACUGCUAUUCCCCUCCUCCAUACCAUUGCUGAUGGUUACUGAGGGUAUGGGAAGGGCCGACUAGUCCAGCUGUUCACAAACAGCCCUUAAUGUCAAACUGAAUACUGCCAACGUAGUUCCAGUUUCUGUAUCUAAAGACUCAGCUUGGAGUCACUUGUCUGGACUAAAAGUAACCCCUCCUUGUCUGGUUUGUGACUUUCUGUACUCUGAUGCCCCCAGCUUUCUGCCUUCUAGAAAUUUGUCAGAAUUUCCAAAAUUCUUGGGCCUUCCUUCUUGCUCUAUAUAUGGUUUUGGAUUCAUUCCUUUUAAAAAAUAUUUACUGUCAUUUCAGUAGAAUUUUGACACAAUAAAUAUAAGCACAUCAG